rnacentral:rRNA from 1 species
CCUACGGGCGGCAGCAGUGAGGAAUAUUGGUCAAUGGACGAGAGUCUGAACCAGCCAAGUAGCGUGAAGGAUGACUGCCCUCUGGGUUGUAAACUUCUUUUAUAAAGGAAUAAAACGAGGCACGUGUGCCUUUUUGCAUGUACUUUAUGAAUAAGGAUCGGCUAACUCCGUGCCAGCAGCCGCGGUAAUACGGAGGGUCCGAGCGUUAUCCGGAUUUAGUGGGUUUAAAGGGAGCGUAGAUGGGUUGUUAAGUCAGUUGUGAAAGUUUGCGGCUCAACCGUAAAAUUGCAAUUGAUACUGGCAGUCUUGAGUACAGGUGAGGUAAGCGGAAUUCGUGGUGUAGCGGUGAAAUGCUUAGAUAUCACGAAGAACCCCGAUGGCGAAGGCAGCUUACUAAACUGUGACUGAUAUUGAUGCUCGAAAGUGUGGGUAUCAAACAGGAUUAGAUACCCCUGUAGUC